UUUGGUAAUUUUAGAACAGCUCAAUGGAAUGCAUUCAAGAUGGAAUUCUAUCCUGGAUGAGAAUAACCAGUUUUGCACGUUUGUAUGCCCUUUCAAAAGCCUAACAGGCUUUACUAAUCAUGCAUAUGCAAAGGCUGAGAGAGUCACUCCCUUUGUUUAGCCUCACUUCAUAUACAUGAUGUGAGAAUCUGCGGAGUGAAAAUCUCUUAAACAAUUGAACACUGCAAGCCUUCAACAAAGUAGGAUGAUCAUUGGCAGUCACCGCAGGUUGCUAACAAGAGAAAAAUCACAAGCUAGAUAUACUCAUCAUUACCAAACAAAUCAGCACCCUCUCAACUGGGUGUGCAAAUCCAAUGAGCUCGUCCUUUCUAAUCUCACUGGGAUGAUGGAUAGAUUAACAAGGUCUGAAUUAAAUCAGUUUUAGCCUCAAAUCUGCAAGGUUAGAGCAUUUCAAGAAAUUGACAAGUUUACUUUCCCCAGUUCCAUGGCAGUCUUUCAAUUCUAGAAAUCACCCACAUUCGUUAGUGUUAAUUUUUAGGAAGUGGGAAGAUAAAGAAGUUGAAGCUAUUCUAGUAGGUAAGGACCCACGCUGGCAGAGAUUCUCGCAUUGGGUGCAGACGAUAGAAUCCUCCCCAAAGGGUGUCUUCCAGGCAGUAAAAUGAACCCUAGUAAAUAGAAUCAAUAAAAAUUUGUCAGUCUAAGGUUGCUGAACUUAUUGGUUUCUUCACUGUGCAUGCUUUUGCUCUAGGAUGCUCAUGCUACCCUAUCCUAAACCUUCCAUCGCUGAAGGACUACGGGUUUCAUUUCAUGCACUGCAACUAGCACAUGUAUUCAAUCCUGGAAAUUGAGUUCUAACAGGCAGGGUAGGCGGCUUAGGCUGAUGGUAAGACACAAGUCACACAAAUCAUGCAUUCAGCCACUAUAAUAUGCAAAAUGUUUUUUGUUCCUACACAUAUUUAUCAAUUAUUUGUCCCAUAAGACGUGACACAAGUUUAUUGAUCCAUCACUGAUAUGACCAGUGAAUUUGUCACAACACAAAUCAGCAAAAAGACAACAAUUUGUCAUGUCGAGUAAGACAAAUAACUGGCACUGCACGUAUGGGAAUAGUUAGCACUGCACGUAUAAAAUCCUUUUCUCAAAGUCAUUGAGGAAACUAAGCAACAAAUAGGAUUCCGAACAGUGACUAUUCAGAAUUAUUUCAGUUCGAUCAAUGGUAUGCAUAUUCUACAGCAAGAACAUGGGACAUAAUACAACAAAUAACUCAAGUAUAAGCAACUCACACUGAUCCAUGUGCCUCUGUUGCUGCUAGCUUGACGUAGUGGAAAUGGAAUAAUCCUAUUCAUUUUAUAAGAAAAUUCCUUCAAAUCAACAGGAAGCUUACUGCCAGCCCACUAUCACCACCAACUUAAACGAGCUUUAACAAUUAUACAGAACAAUGAAUCUAUACAAAUACUGAAAUUUCACAGGAUUCUAAAUGAAACUUCCAGGUACUUUUUGUGACAGAUUUCAGACUUGAUGAAAUAAUUUCAGAAAAAUUCUCACUCCCACAGCACAAGUCUACUGCCAAGAACCUGUUCGGCAUCCAUGCUGUUUUUUUGCAUUUGAUGGUUGUCCAACAGUAAAAAGUUGCAUUUGUGAAAAAACAGUUGAUGAAACAAGUAAAAAACUAAAAACCAUUUUUUGUGGUUCACUUGUCGAGGCAACUUGUUUUUUCUCUGCAAGACGCUAAUGAAAAUAAACAAGAAUUAAUAAUGUGACUUCUUUUAAACUACUGGACAACAACCAAAAACAACAUGGACACCAAACAGGCCCUAAGAUUUCUAAAAAAAUCAGAUAGUUUAAUUACUUGCAUAUAACAGAGGUUCAAUCACUAUCCAAAUAAUUGUACAUAUCACAUAGAAAUUCAUUAGCUAUAAGUGUAGCUAAAACAGAAAACAAAAAUUCCCAGAGCAGUAAUGGAGUUAUUGCAUCUCCCAAGAGAGAUCCAAGGAAAACACAGACAAUAUUACAUACCCAUGAAAUAAAGGACUUAUCUAAAUAAAAUAAGCAAAAAAAAGUUGAAAGUUGAAAUGUUGAGGAAUGUUAAAUGUUACAAUAUACUAGAAACAGAGCCAAGAUGAAUGCUGGAAGAGUGUAAAGUGAUAUCAUUAUAGCAAAUCCUCAAUACUGACAAGAGCUAUUAAAGUAUAUAUAAUAUUAACAUUUAUUUAUACUGGGCACAACAACAGAUAAUUACAUAUAAAUUAUGGAAAAAUAGUUCACCUACCAUGGACCUUUUUAAUCAACCCUUCUUACUUCUUGAGCAACAAUAAG
rnacentral:misc_RNA from 1 species